rnacentral:sRNA from 1 species
GCGAUGAGCUGAAUUGUGUAAGUCGGUGAUCACGUCCUUGUGACAACAAACGAUGUGGCGUUUGCUGAUUAUCCGCCUCAAUUUUUUUGCAAGUGGGCUUCCAUAGGAAAUGGGAGCC